GAUGUUAGCGGCGGACGGGUGAGUAACACGUGGGUAACCUGCCUGUAAGACUGGGAUAACUCCGGGAAACCGGAGCUAAUACCGGAUAGUUCCUUGAACCGCAUGGUUCAAGGAUGAAAGACGGUUUCGGCUGUCACUUACAGAUGGACCCGCGGCGCAUUAGCUAGUUGGUGAGGUAACGGCUCACCAAGGCGACGAUGCGUAGCCGACCUGAGAGGGUGAUCGGCCACACUGGGACUGAGACACGGCCCAGACUCCUACGGGAGGCAGCAGUAGGGAAUCUUCCGCAAUGGACGAAAGUCUGACGGAGCAACGCCGCGUGAGUGAUGAAGGUUUUCGGAUCGUAAAGCUCUGUUGUUAGGGAAGAACAAGUGCAAGAGUAACUGCUUGCACCUUGACGGUACCUAACCAGAAAGCCACGGCUAACUACGUGCCAGCAGCCGCGGUAAUACGUAGGUGGCAAGCGUUGUCCGGAAUUAUUGGGCGUAAAGGGCUCGCAGGCGGUUUCUUAAGUCUGAUGUGAAAGCCCCCGGCUCAACCGGGGAGGGUCAUUGGAAACUGGGAAACUUGAGUGCAGAAGAGGAGAGUGGAAUUCCACGUGUAGCGGUGAAAUGCGUAGAGAUGUGGAGGAACACCAGUGGCGAAGGCGACUCUCUGGUCUGUAACUGACGCUGAGGAGCGAAAGCGUGGGGAGCGAACAGGAUUAGAUACCCUGGUAGUCCACGCCGUAGACGAUGAGUGCUAAGUGUUAGGGGGUUUCCGCCCCUUAGUGCUGCAGCUAACGCAUUAAGCACUCCGCCUGGGGAGUACGGUCGCAAGACUGAAACUCAAAGGAAUUGACGGGGGCCCGCACAAGCGGUGGAGCAUGUGGUUUAAUUCGAAGCAACGCGAAGAACCUUACCAGGUCUUGACAUCCUCUGACAACCCUAGAGAUAGGGCUUUCCCUUCGGGGACAGAGUGACAGGUGGUGCAUGGUUGUCGUCAGCUCGUGUCGUGAGAUGUUGGGUUAAGUCCCGCAACGAGCGCAACCCUUGAUCUUAGUUGCCAGCAUUCAGUUGGGCACUCUAAGGUGACUGCCGGUGACAAACCGGAGGAAGGUGGGGAUGACGUCAAAUCAUCAUGCCCCUUAUGACCUGGGCUACACACGUGCUACAAUGGACAGAACAAAGGGCUGCGAGACCGCAAGGUUUAGCCAAUCCCACAAAUCUGUUCUCAGUUCGGAUCGCAGUCUGCAACUCGACUGCGUGAAGCUGGAAUCGCUAGUAA
rnacentral:rRNA from 1 species